UACGUAGGUGGCAAGCGUUAUCCGGAAUUAUUGGGCGUAAAGCGUCCGUAGGUGGCUAGUCAAGUCUGCGGUCAAAGACUGGGGCUUAACCCUGGAAAGGCCGUGGAAACUGACGAGCUAGAGUGCAGUAGGGGUAGAGGGAAUUCCCGGUGUAGCGGUGAAAUGCGUAGAGCUCGGGAAGAACAUCGGUGGCGAAAGCGCUCUACUGGACUGCAACUGACACUCAGGGACGAAAGCUAGGGGAGCGAAUGGG
rnacentral:rRNA from 1 species